rnacentral:rRNA from 1 species
AUGAAUACAGAUUCAGUUGUCAUAGAGGAAGACAGCGAAGAAGAUGAAGCACAAGAGGAAGAAAAUGAAGCAGAAGUAGUCGUUCGUCCUAGGAGGAAGUUGACAUCUCCUGUUUGGAAGGAGUUUAAGAAAGUAAAAGUGAAGAACAUGAUGAAGGCCAAGUGUAACUGGUGCUCAAAGAAGCUUGGAGGGGAACCAAGAAAUGGAACGAAGCAUCUCCUUGACCAUUUAAAGAUAUGUCCAUAUCGCAAGAGGCUUGCGGACACCAAGAAGCAAACUUCUUUGAGGUAUAGUUCGAAUGUACAAGGUGGGAAAGUUGCUGUAGAGAACUAUACUUUUGACCUGGAUGUUGCUAGAAAGGCUCUUGGUUCCAUGAUUCUUCUCCAUGACUAUCCUCUGUCAAUUGUUGAUCACAUUGGGUUUAGAAAAUUAGUUUCUGCACUCCAGCCAUUAUUUAAGAUGGUGAGAAGAAAUACUAUUAGGAGUGACAUCUUAGAUAGCUAUAAAAUUGAAAAGAAGAGGGCUAUCAACUACAUGGAGAAAAAUAAAAGCAGGGUGGCUAUCACUACAGAUAUGUGGACGUCUGAACAUCAGAAAAGAGGCUACAUGGCUAUCACAGCACAUUUCGUUGAUGAAUCCUGGAAGCUUCAGAGCUAUAUUAUGAGAUUUAUUUAUGUUCCAGCACCACAUACAGCUCGUGUAAUUGCCGAGAUACUUCAUGAUGCACUGGUCAAAUGGUAUCUGGAAGAUAAGGUAUCUACAUUGACUGUUGAUAAUGCCACAACAAAUGAUGCUUGCAUUCCCAUAUUAGAGAAUCUGAUAGGUCCAAGUAAGCUUAUGUUAGGUGGCAAGCUUUUACAUAUGCGUUUUUGUGCGCAUAUUCUUAACCUGAUAGUCAAGGAUGGUUUGGAUGUGUUAGAAGAAUCAAUUGAGAAAAUCCGUGAUAGUGUUGCAUUCUGGACUAGCACACCUAAGAGAAUAGAUAAUUUUCAAGAGGUUGCCAAGAUGCUGAAAGUAACCAAAGUAAAAAAUUAUCCCUUGAUGUGA